rnacentral:RNase_P_RNA from 1 species
GAUGAUCGGGCAAUCGCCUGCUGCUUCCGCAGCGGGAGGAAAGUCCGAACACCAACGAGCACUGUGCUUCCUAACGGGAAGAUUCGGGUAACCGGAUAGAUGAAAGUGCCACAGAAAACAAACCGCCUCCAUUAUGGAGGUAAGGGUGAAAAGGUGAAGUAAGAGCUCACCGCUCCGGUGGUGACAUUCGGAGGCACGGCAAACCUCACAGGAUGCAAGCUCAUGCAGGCAGUGCGCUGCUCGUCGCUAUGCUGCCGGGUGGAGUGCUUGAGCCUCGGAGUAAUCCGGGGACCAGAUAAAUGAUUGCCAUCCCGAUUUGAUCGGGAUACAGAAUUCGGCUUACAGAUCAUCCC